GGGGUGUCCUUGGUCUUGGUCUUGGUCUUGGCUGCUGUUUGUCUGAGACAGGGUUGUGUGUGUGUGUGUGUGUGUGUGUGUGUAGCCCUGGCUAUCCUAGAACUAACCAGGCUGUCUUCAAAUUCUACGAUCCACCUGCCUCUGCCUCCUGAGUGCUGAAUUAAAGCCCAGGACCCUCUGCUCAGAAGACAGUGUGGGAAGGUCUGGGAAGAGGCUUUGGUUGCUAUGUUGUUCAUCUGUACUGCAGUGUCAUCUCUCCAUCCACUUCGCUGAUGGUUAGAAAACCAUGUUAAGGAAGGUGACCAUCAACUCCUGGCUUACUUCUUCGGAAACCCACCUUCAUUUCUGAGUCUCUUGUCUCAGGUGUCAAGUGAUAAUGAUACCACACACAUUACUGGAGUGUCGACCUUUGUGCUGACAGUCAUGAUAUCGGCUGCUAUGUGCUGAACCUGUUCAGUUUUGCAUCUGAAAACGAACAGACAGAAGGCUUGUGGCUAAUCCUACUGCAAACCCUGAUG
rnacentral:lncRNA from 1 species